rnacentral:SRP_RNA from 1 species
AGCAGUAGACAACUUUACCGCAGACAUACUGUCUGUGUGUUUGCAGUAAAUAGUUUGAGCUCAGGAGCUCUGAGCUGCAGCGGACUAUGUCGAUCGGGUGUCCGCACUAAGUUCGGUAUCGAUAUGGUGCUCCUGGGGGAGCCCGGGACCACCAGGUCGUCUAAGGAGGGGUGCACCGGCCCAGGUCGGAAACGGAGCAGGUCAAAGCCCCCGUGCCGCUCAGUAGUGGGAUCGCGCCUGUGAAUAGACGCUGUAGUGCAGCCUGAGUAACACAGCGGGACCCAGUCU